AAUGACUUUAGUAGUUCAUUGUAAUGAAUUUUUUGUUUGAUCUAUUCAAGUUCAAUCCCCUGAGUAUAUUGUGAUCUUUUCAGGUUCUUGUAGUGUUAUAGUAUAUAUAGAAAGUUUUGUUUGUUAUUCUUGUUUAUAGUUUUGAUUUAGUAGAUUGAAUAUUACAUCCUAAGAACUUUUCUUUACAAACAUUGUUGGACAGGUAGUUGAUGUUACUGGAAAGCAUAGGUGGAUCAGUGCUAACAAUGAAGUCACAUAUUUUGGUUCAUCUUUUGAGUUUAUUUCCAGAAUUAGAAUAAGUUAUAUAACGUCUGGAAGAUUACCCCUAAGAGAGUCAUCAUUGCUUCUAAGAAAUUCGUUCACUCCAUUAUCUUUGUAAGUUGGUGUUUCUGUACAUUUGAAAGUUGAAGCAAGCUUGAAUGUGAAAAAUAUUAAGUCAUUAUACUUCCAAAGAGGAGUUCUUCCGCUAUAUAUUGGCACUUCAUUCUUACUAGGGACUAUCCUAAUAGUAUAAGAGAAGACCUUGUUAAGGGGUUUGUUAGGAUCUGUUUGUUGAUCAGGGAAGAGGGAAAGAUAUCACGCAAGCUUGUUGAGUGUAUUAAUACAUAUUUGUUAAAUGAUGGUCCAAAUUUGGGCGGUCAUUUGUUAGAGAUUCAUACUGCUAUACAGCAAUUCGUGUUUCGUUGUUGGUUGACACAUGAUCGAGUGCUUAAGGAUUCACUUAUAUUGUAUUCAAGGAGGAACUAAGGGCCUCAAUACAGCUUUAGCUUUGUCUAAUGCCAUCUCUAGCUAGUAAUAAACUCUCUCUCUCUCUCUCUCCUAUGUGUGUUUGUAAUGUUCAUCAUAUGAAUUAGUAUUAUAGCUUUUUCCCAUUAUAGUUUUUUCCCUUGAGAUUCAGAUUUUCAUAGUUUUUGACAUGUCAAACUCGGGCGUGUUGAUCUAGGAAAAUGUGUUUUGUU